CAGAAAAACAGUGUGGUUUUUGUGAAUGAAGAUUAAAUUUUCAAAUAUUUUAACCUGAUACAGUGAUUAUUAUGUAGCGAAGCUUAUUUAUAUGAUUCCAGUAUGUGAAGUAUAAGAGUAUACAGUAACUUUAUAGAGGAACACUGCUCAGCCCUUGUAUUAUAUACACGA